rnacentral:rRNA from 1 species
UACAGAGGUCUCAAGCGUUGUUCGGAUUCAUUGGGCGUAAAGGGCGCGUAGGCGGCAUGACAAGUCACUUGUGAAAUCUCCGGGCUUAACUCGGAACGGUCAAGUGAUACUGUCGCGCUAGAGUGCGGAAGGGGCAAUCAGAAUUCUUGGUGUAGCGGUGAAAUGCGUAGAUAUCAAGAGGAAUACCUGAGGUGAAGACGGGUUGCUAGGCCGACACUGACGCUGAAGCGCGAAAGCCAGGGGAGCAAACGGG